rnacentral:rRNA from 1 species
UGGGGAAUAUUGGACAAUGGGGGAAACCCUGAUCCAGCCAUGCCGCGUGAAUGAUGAAGGCCUUAGGGUUGUAAAGUUCUUUUGCCAGGGAAGAUGAUGACGGUACCUGGAGAAUAAGCACCGGCUAACUUCGUGCCAGCAGCCGCGGUAAUACGAAGGGUGCUAGCGUUGUUCGGAAUCACUGGGCGUAAAGCGCGCGUAGGCGGCUUUCAAAGUCAGGGGUGAAAUCCCACAGCUCAACUGUGGAAUUGCCUUUGAAACUGGAGGGCUAGAGUGUCGGAGGGGAUAGCGGAAUUGCUAAUGUAGAGGUGAAAUUCGUAGAUAUUAGCAGGAACACCGGUGGCGAAGGCGGCUAUCUGGACGACAACUGACGCUGAGGCGCGAAAGUGUGGGGAUCAAACAG